rnacentral:rRNA from 1 species
GACGAACGCUGGCGGCGUGCUUAACACAUGCAAGUCGAACGGGCCUGUCUUCUUUUUUGGGGGUGGGUUGAGUGGCGAACGGGGGAGUAUCACGUGAGUAACCUGCCCUUCGGUCCUGGAUAACCGCUUGAAAGGGCGGCUAAUACGGGGUGGUCCGGUUGGUCCGCAUGGGCUGGUCGGGAUAGAUUCACUGUUUUUGGUGUUUCGGCGGGGGAUGGGCUCGCGGCCUAUCAGCUUGUUGGUGGGGUGAUGGCCUACCAAGGCGGUGACGGGUAGCCGGCCUGAGAGGGUGGGCGGCCACACUGGGACUGAGAUACGGCCCAGACUCCUGCGGGAGGCAGCAGUGGGGGGUAUUGCACAAUGGGCGGAAGCCUGAUGCAGCGACGUCGCGUGAGGGAUGGAGGCCUUCGGGUUGUGAACCUCUGUUUCCGGUGGUGAAGGCCCUGUCCGUGUGGUGGGGUUGACGGUAGCCGGGGAUGAAGCGCCGGCUAACUACGUG